GUAAGGACUCAUCCUUCAGCUAAUGCAUUGUUUAGAAACUUAGUAAGCGAAUAAAAGCGCGUGGCCACGAGGACACAAGAAUAUCUAAGCGCUGCAGAAACAGCCACAUAAUUUGCUCCUUGAUUUAUUGCAUCUUUGGCAGGCAAUGCUCUGAGCUUUCAUGCAUAUAUGGGCAAUUGGGGCAUCUGUGAUGAAGUGCUGUUGACAGAAGUAUGGCCCGUGGUAACAUGAUUGCUAUAAUAAGGAACCAUGGCCAAGCACAGUGGCUCACACCUGUAAUCCCAGAACUUUGGGAGGCUGAGGCAAGUGGAUCACUUGAGCUCAGGAGUUGGAGACCAGCCUGGCUAACAAGAUGUCCAAACAAGAAAGAUAAAGAAAGGUUGAAGAAUUGUUUCACAAUAAAAGACUCAACAUGAAAACUAAAUGCAGUAUAUGAGUCUAGAUUGGAUUCUGGACAUGGGAGAAAUAACUAAAAAGGACAUUACCAGAACAACUGACAAAUUUAAAUAUAAACUGCAGAUUUGGCAA
rnacentral:lncRNA from 1 species